CGGGAUGUAGCUCAGCUUGGUAGAGCACAAGCAUGGGGUGCUUGGGGUCGCAGGUUCAAAUCCUGUCAUCCCGACCA
rnacentral:tRNA from 6 species